ensembl:lncRNA novel transcript
AUCUUGCUAGUGUUCCUCAAGUAAUCUUCACUGCCAACAAGGAGGGGAGGGAGCGGACGGCAAUUGAGACAUCUGACUUCCCCUUGACUUCCUCUAACACUGGCAGCAUCUCAGAAGAAUAGAGCCAAAUUUGUGGUCCAGCUUUUGGAAUUAAUCAAGACCAGACAGAAUACAUUUGAGAGUACUAAGUUGACUGCAGGACUGCCAGCCUAUUCACUUUCAUCACUGACAGAGAGGCCAAAAGUGGCACCAUGCAAUGGGCACAUGGGAGGAUUGCUUUUCAAAUGUUUACUUCCACUUUGAGGGAAUCCGGGAGAACAAGACCAAUUAUAGUUUGCCAGUAAGAUGUUCAGACGUGUCCAGAGUUUCUUCCUUCUGAUGGGUUCGUCAUCUCGCUGACUUCAGGAGUAAAGCCGCAGACCUUCGCAGUGAACAUUACAGCUCUUAAAAGUGGCGUGUCCAGAGUUAUUUGUUCCUCCUGGUGGGUUCGUGGUCUCGCUGACUUCAGGAGUGAAGCCACAGACCUCCGCG